rnacentral:rRNA from 1 species
GACAGAGGGUGCGAACGUUGUUCGGAAUUACUGGGCGUAAAGCGCGUGUAGGCGGCUAUGUAAGUCGGGCGUGAAAUCCCACGGCUCAACCGUGGAAGUGCACCCGAAACUGCGUAGCUAGAGUCCUGGAGAGGAAGGUGGAAUGCUUGGUGUAGAGGUGAAAUUCGUAGAUAUCAAGCGGAACACCGGUGGCGAAGGCGGCCUUCUGGACAGUGACUGACGCUGAGACGCGAAAGCGUGGGGAGCAAACAGG